AGGCUUAACACAUGCAAGUCGAGCGCCCCGCAAGGGGAGCGGCACGACGGGUGAGUAACGCGUGGGAACGUACCCUUUACUACGGAAUAACGCAGGGAAACUUGUGCUAAUACCGUAUGUGCCCUUCGGGGGAAAGAUUUAUCGGUAAAGGAUCGGCCCGCGUUGGAUUAGCUAGUUGGUGGGGUAAAGGCCUACCAAGGCGACGAUCCAUAGCUGGUCUGAGAGGAUGAUCAGCCACAUUGGAACUGAAACACGGCCCAAACUC
rnacentral:rRNA from 1 species